rnacentral:rRNA from 1 species
AUGAAACACUCCUACGGGAGGCAGCAGUGGGGAAUUUUGGACAAUGGGGGCAACCCUGAUCCAGCAAUGCCGCGUGAGUGAAGAAGGCCUUCGGGUUGUAAAGUACUUUCAGCGGGGAGGAAGGCGAUGCGGUUAAUAACCGCGUCGAUUGACGUUACCCGCAGAAGAAGCACCGGCUAACUCCGUGCCAGCAGCCGCGGUAAUACGGAGGGUGCAAGCGUUAAUCGGAAUUACUGGGCGUAAAGCGCACGCAGGCGGUCUGUUAAGUCAGAUGUGAAAUCCCCGGGCUUAACCUGGGAACUGCAUAUGAAACUGGCAGGCUUGAGUCUUGUAGAGGGGGGUAGAAUUCCAGGUGUAGCGGUGAAAUGCGUAGAGAUCUGGAGGAAUACCGGUGGCGAAGGCGGCCCCCUGGACAAAGACUGACGCUCAGGUGCGAAAGCGUGGGGAGCAAACAGGAUUAGAAACCCCUGUAGUCCGAAGUUC